CCGGUUCACCAGGUCAAAUAAAUAUUAUUUUCCGCAGUUGUUGUACAUUUUGGUUUAGCACUACACAGCUGAUUUAAAUAAUGAACUCAUUAUCAACCUUUGAUUAUUUGAAUCAACUGUGUAGUGCUAGGUCAAAAAACAAAAUGUGCAACCCUUAGGGUCCCCAGGACCGAAUUUGGGAAAUGCUGCUCCAAACCUAACCCCGUACCCUUCCCUUUAAAAAAACGUUGAAGUUUGAAACUGCAGUCGACUGUGGUAUUUUGGACGCAGUAUUUGUAGCAUACUGCAGGUAUACUGCAACCUUUUCUCGUAAGUGUUACCUUAACCGUUUGAAAUGUCAACGUCAUUGGGGUGACUUCAGCAUUGGGACGUCCCACGGAACCCGUUUAGACGUCAGGAAAUAGUUACCAUCUUGUCCCAUACAGACUCGGGAGAGGCAAAGUUCGAGAGCCAUGCGUCCUUCAAAACAUGGCCUUGUCGAGCCGCACUGCUCGCUUAACCCAGAAGCCCGCCACACCAAUGUGUCAGAGGAAACACCAUACAACUGGCAACCUGUCGUCAGCGUGCAUGCACCCGGCCCGCCACUAUGAGUCGCUAGAGCACGGUGGGACAAGGACAUCCCAUCCGGCCAAACGCACUUAACCCUGACGACAAUGGGCCAAUUGUGCGCCGCCUCAUGGGUCUCCCGGUCGUGGCCUGCUGCGACACAGCCUGGGAUCGAUCCUGGGUCUGUGGUGACACCUCUAGCACUGAGAUGCAGUGCCUUAGACCGCUGCACCACUCGGGAGGCCAUGUACUUUUAUUGUAAUCUUAACUGUAAUCCAGUUAAUUUGGUUCUGCUAUUCGAUGAAGUAACACAUUAAUCUGUUUUAUAAAUAAACAAAAUAUCUGACAUUGUA